GGGGAUAUAACUUUGGGAAAGCACUUGCCUGGAAUGCAUGAGGCCCUGGGUUCAAUUCCCAGCCCUG
rnacentral:tRNA from 1 species